rnacentral:rRNA from 1 species
AGAGUUUGAUCCUGGCUCAGAGCGAACGCUGGCGGCGUGCUUAACACAUGCAAGUCGAGUGCGCGUCUGUAGCAAUACAGAUGGCGCACGGCGCACGGGUGCGUAACACGUGGGUAAUCUGCCCUUCGAAGGGGAAUAACUCGCCGAAAGGCGAGCUAAUUCCGCAUAACAUUCCUUGGACUUUGGUUUGAGGACUCAAAGGCGUAAGUCGUCGGAGGAGGAGCCCGCGCACGAUUAGCUAGUUGGUGAGGUAAUGGCUCACCAAGGCUAUGAUCGUUAGCUGGUCUGAGAGGAUGGCCAGCCACACUGGAACUGAGACACGGUCCAGACUCCUACGGGAGGCAGCAGUGGGGAAUCUUGCACAAUGGGCGAAAGCCUGAUGCAGCGACGCCGCGUGGGGGAUGAAGCUUCUCGGAGUGUAAACCCCUUUCGACCCGGACGAAUGCCCCGCAAGGGGACUGACGGUACGGGUAUAAGAAGCCCCGGCUAACUACGUGCCAGCAGCCGCGGUAAGACGUAGGGGGCCAGCGUUGCUCGGAAUUACUGGGUGUAAAGGGUUCGUAGGCGGUGUGGCAAGUCGGGAGUGAAAUCUCUGGGCUCAACCCAGAGUCUGCUUCCGAAACUGCUGUGCUUGAGUGUGGGAGAGGCGCGUGGAAUUGCAGGUGUAGCGGUGAAAUGCGUAGAUAUCUGCAGGAACACCCGUGGCGAAAGCGGCGCGCUGGACCACUACUGACGCUGAGGAACGAAAGCUAGGGGAGCAAACAGGAUUAGAUACCCUGGUAGUCCUAGCCCUAAACGAUCAGACUUGGGGUGCCACCCGUUCGGGUGUCGUCCCGGAGCUAACGCGUUAAGUCCUGCACCUGGGGAGUACGGUCGCAAGACUGAACUCAAAGGAAUUGACGGGGGCCCGCACAAGCGGUGGAACAUGUGGUUCAUUCGACGCUACGCGAGGAACCUUACCUGGGCUCGAAAUGCUUCUGACAAGC